rnacentral:rRNA from 1 species
AACGAACGCUGGCGGCGUGCUUAACACAUGCAAGUCGAACGGAAACGCCCUGCUUUGUUGCGGUGCUCGAGGGGCGAACGGGUGAGUAACACGUGAGUAACCUACACUUGACUUUAGGAUAACUUCAUGAAACUGGAUCUAAUACCGCAUAGGAUCUCCUGCUUUUGGGUGGGCGUUGGAUAGUUUCGGCGGUUGGUGAUGUACUCGCGGCUUAUCAGCUUGUUGGUGGGGUCGUGGCUUACGAAGGCUUUGACGGGUAGCCGUCCUGAGAGGGUGACCGGCAACAUUGGGACUGAGAUAGGGACAAGACUCAUACGGGAGCGAGCAGUGGCAAAUAUUGCACAAUGGGCGGAAGCGUGAUGCAGCAACACCGAGUGCGGGAUGACGGCGUUCGGGUUGUAAACCGCUUUCGCUUGUGACGAAGCGUGAGUGAAGGUAAUGGGUAGAGAAGCACCGGCUAACUACGUG